CCUACGGGAGGCAGCAGUGGGGAAUAUUGCACAAUGGGGGAAACCCUGAUGCAGCAACGCCGCGUGAGUGAAGAAGUAAUUCGUUACGUAAACUUCUAUCAGCAGGGAAGAAAUACAUGACGUUCCCUUAAUACACAGCCCCUGCUAACUACGUGCCAGCAGCCGAGGUAAUACGUAGGGGGCAAGCGUUCUCCGGAAUUACUGGGUGUAAAGGUAGAGUAGACGGCAUGGCAAGUCAGAUGUGAAAGCGUUGGGCUUAACCCGAGGAUUGCAUUUGAAACUAGCAAGCUAGAGUGCAGGAGAGGAAAGCGGAAUUCCUAGUGUAGCGGUGAAAUGCGUAGAUAUUAGGAAGAACACCAGUGGCGAAGGCGGCUUUCUGGACUGAAACUGACGUUGAGGCACGAAAGCGUGGGGAGCGAACAGGAUUAGAUACCCGUGUAGUC
rnacentral:rRNA from 1 species